AACGAACGCUGGCGGCAUGCCUAACACAUGCAAGUCGAACGAGACCUUCGGGUCUAGUGGCGCACGGGUGCGUAACGCGUGGGAACCUGCCCUUAGGUUCGGAAUAACUCCCCGAAAGGGGUGCUAAUACCGGAUAAUGUCUUCGGACCAAAGAUUUAUCGCCUUUGGAUGGGCCCGCGUUGGAUUAGCUAGUUGGUAGGGUAAAAGCCUACCAAGGCGACGAUCCAUAGCUGGUCUGAGAGGAUGAUCAGCCACACUGGGACUGAGACACGGCCCAGACUCCUACGGGAGGCAGCAGUGGGGAAUAUUGGACAGUGGGCGAAAGCCUGAUCCAGCAAUGCCGCGUGAGUGAUGAAGGCAUUAGGGUUGUAAAGCUCUUUUACCCGGGAUGAUAAUGACAGUACCGGGAGAAUAAGCUCCGGCUAACUCCGUG
rnacentral:rRNA from 1 species